ACGGGAGGCAGCAGUAGGGAAUAUUGCACAAUGGGGGAAACCCUGAUGCAGCAACGCCACGUGUGGGAAGAAGCAUUUCGGUGUGUAAACCACUGUCGUGAGGGAAUAAUGCUUGGCCUCGGCCAAGUUGAAUGUACCUCGAAAGGAAGCACCGGCAAACUUCGUGCCAGCAGCCGCGGUAAUACGAGGGGUGCAAGCGUUGUUCGGAAUCACUGGGCGUAAAGGGAGCGCAGGCGGAAGUGCAAGCGGUCUGUACAAUACCGGGGCCCAACCCCGGACCUGCAGACCGGACUGCAUUUCUUGGAUAGUUCAGGGGCAAGCGGAAUUCCUGGUGUAGCGGUGAAAUGCGUAGAUAUUAGGAGGAACACCAGUGGCGAAGGCGGCUUACUGGACGAUAGCUGACGUUGAGGCUCGAAAGCGUGGGGAGCAAACAGGAUUAGAUACCCUGGUA
rnacentral:rRNA from 1 species